rnacentral:rRNA from 1 species
GGUUAAGCGACUAAGCGUACACGGUGGAUGCCCUGGCAGUCAGAGGCGAUGAAGGACGUGCUAAUCUGCGAUAAGCGUCGGUAAGGUGAUAUGAACCGUUAUAACCGGCGAUUUCCGAAUGGGGAAACCCAGUGUGAUUCGUCACACUAUCAUUAACUGAAUCCAUAGGUUAAUGAGGCGAACCGGGGGAACUGAAACAUCUAAGUACCCCGAGGAAAAGAAAUCAACCGAGAUUCCCCCAGUAGCGGCGAGCGAACGGGGAGCAGCCCAGAGCCUGAAUCAGUGUGUGUGUUAGUGGAAGCGUCUGGAAAGGCGCGCGAUACAGGGUGACAGCCCCGUACACAAAAAUGCACAUAUUGUGAGCUCGAUGAGUAGGGCGGGACACGUGGUAUCCUGUCUGAAUAUGGGGGGCCCAUCCUCCAAGGCUAAAUACUCCUGACUGACCGAUAGUGAACCAGUACCGUGAGGGAAAGGCGAAAAGAACCCCGGCGAGGGGAGUGAAAAAGAACCUGAAACCGUGUACGUACAAGCAGUGGGAGCACGCUUAGGCGUGUGACUGCGUACCUUUUGUAUAAUGGGUCAGCGACUUAUAUUCUGUAGCAAGGUUAACCGAAUAGGGGAGCCGAAGGGAAACCGAGUCUUAACUGGGCGUUAAGUUGCAGGGUAUAGACCCGAAACCCGGUGAUCUAGCCAUGGGCAGGUUGAAGGUUGGGUAACACUAACUGGAGGACCGAACCGACUAAUGUUGAAAAAUUAGCGGAUGACUUGUGGCUGGGGGUGAAAGGCCAAUCAAACCGGGAGAUAGCUGGUUCUCCCCGAAAGCUAUUUAGGUAGCGCCUCGUGAAUUCAUCUCCGGGGGUAGAGCACUGUUUCGGCA